rnacentral:misc_RNA from 1 species
UCCGGUUCUUCACCAGCAGUCUCCUUAGAGUCCCCACCAUUACGUGUUGGCAACUAAGGAUAAGGGUUGCGCUCGUUACGGGACUUAACCCAACAUCUCACAACACGAGCUGACGACAGCCAUGCAGCACCUGUCUCUAGGUUCCUUUCGGCACUCCCGCAUCUCUGCAGGAUUCCUAGGAUGUCAAGGGUAGGUAAGGUUCUUCGCGUUGCAUCGAAUUAAACCACAUGCUCCACCGCUUGUGCGGGCCCCCGUCAAUUCCUUUGAGUUUUAGCCUUGCGGCCGUACUCCCCAGGCGGAGAACUUAUCGCGUUAGCUUCGACACUAAUGGGUCAUGCCCACCAUCGUCUAGUUCUCAUCGUUUACAGCGUGGACUAC